UGGGUGGGUGGGAUUUUAUAUGGAUGAGUCAAAACAACCAGCGACCCUGCCAAUCGGACAAAAUCUGAGAGAUUUGGCUCUGGAAUUGGUUUGGAUCCGGCCAAGGAUGCUGAGCUUUGGAUACCUUUAUCAAGAACUUGGCACAUGAGAAAGGAAUCGAACUAGAAGUAAACCAAAUCACAAGGGAACUCAAUUUGAUUAAUAAUUUAUGUUGAACUCCUUCAACCAAUCUUCGAUCUUGAAUGCACUUUAAGCUGUGCUGAUCAAUUUUAAUGACAACUAAAGUGCUAGCAUAGUAGUGUUUCAAUUUUCUCAAAGCUUCUAGAAUAGUCAUUGCCUCUUUUUCAUAAGUUGAAGAAGCUGCAGCUUUUUGUCCCAAUGUCCUACUAAGAAAGGAUAUCGGCCUGCC
rnacentral:lncRNA from 1 species